rnacentral:rRNA from 1 species
AACGAACGCUGGCGGCAUGCCUAACACAUGCAAGUCGAACGAACCCUUCGGGGUUAGUGGCGCACGGGUGCGUAACGCGUGGGAACCUGCCUUUAGGUUCGGAAUAACAGUUAGAAAUGACUGCUAAUACCGGAUAAUGUCUUCGGACCAAAGAUUUAUCGCCUUUAGAUGGGCCCGCGUAGGAUUAGAUAGUUGGUGGGGUAAUGGCCUACCAAGUCGACGAUCCUUAGCUGGUCUGAGAGGAUGAUCAGCCACACUGGGACUGAGACACGGCCCAGACUCCUACGGGAGGCAGCAGUGGGGAAUAUUGGACAAUGGGCGAAAGCCUGAUCCAGCAAUGCCGCGUGAGUGAUGAAGGCCUUAGGGUUGUAAAGCUCUUUUACCAGGGAUGAUAAUGACAGUACCUGGAGAAUAAGCUCCGGCUAACUCCGUGC